GCCAGUGUGGUGCAGUGGUUUGAGUGUAGGACUUGGGCUCUGGAGAUCAGGGUUUGAUUUCCUGCUCUGCA